GAACGACAGAGCUAGCAUUUCCCUUUCUUUGUUUCCUUUCAUCCCUACCGCAAAUUCUCUCUGUAAAUUAAUCUCUCCCUGUAAAAUAAAGUUUGCCCCUCAUGCAUGCUGGCACUGCGUUUUUCAUUAAUGCUGAUAACACAGUAAUGCAAAUUUCUCAACUUGCCCAAGCUUGUAGAAAGAUUGCAAGUUUGCGUAACCCAGGCAUGUAAGUACCUAACUACUAAGCCUGCUUAUGAGACAGAAAAACACCCC